rnacentral:rRNA from 1 species
GACGAACGCUGGCGGCGUGCCUAACACAUGCAAGUCGAGCGGGGAGGAGGAAGCUUGCUUCCGAAUCCUAGCGGCGGACGGGUGAGUAACGCGUGAGCAACCUGCCUCUUACAGGGGGAUAACGCAUCGAAAGAUGUGCUAAUACCGCGUAAGACCACAGUACCGCAUGGUACAGAGGUCAAAGGAGCAAUCCGGUAAGAGAUGGGCUCGCGUCCGAUUAGCUAGUUGGUGGGGUAAUGGCCUACCAAGGCGACGAUCAGUAGCCGGACUGAGAGGUUGAACGGCCACAUUGGGACUGAGAUACGGCCCAGACUCCUACGGGAGGCAGCAGUCGGGAAUAUUGCGCAAUGGAGGAAACUCUGACGCAGUGACGCCGCGUAUAGGAAGAAGGUUUUCGGAUUGUAAACUAUUGUCGUUAGGGAAGAUACAAGACAGUACCUAAGGAGGAAGCCCCGGCUAACUAUGUG